AGCAGCCGCGGUAAUUCCAGCUCCAAUAGCGUAUAUUAAAGUUGCUGCAGUUAAAAAGCUCGUAGUUGAAUUUCGGGACCAUCAUGUUGGUCGUGCCUCGGUACGUACUGGCAUUGUUGGUUUCUCCCUUCUGACGAACCAUGAUGUCAUUUAUUUGGUGUCGUGGGAAAUCAGGACUGUUACUUUGAAAAAAUUAGAGUGUUUAAAGCAGGCUCACGCUUGAAUACAUUAGCAUGGAAUAAUGAAAUAGGACGUUUGAUUCUAUUUUGUUGGUUUCUAGGAUCGACGUAAUGAUUAAUAGGGAUAGUUGGGGGCAUUAGUAUUCAAUUGUCAGAGGUGAAAUUCUUGGAUUUAUUGAAGACUAACUACUGCGAAAGCAUUUGCCAAGGAUGUUUUCAUUAAUCAAGAACGAAAGUUAGGGGAUCGAAGACGAUCAGAUACCGUCGUAGUCUUAACCACAAACUAUGCCGACUAGGGAUCGGAUGAUGUUAAUUUUUUAAUGACUCAUUCGGCGCCUUACG
rnacentral:rRNA from 1 species